UAAUACGAAGGGGGCUAGCGUUGUUCGGAUUUACUGGGCGUAAAGCGCGUGUAGGCGGACUGUUAAGUUGGGGGUGAAAUCCCGAGGCUCAACCUCGGAACUGCCUUCAAAACUGGCGGUCUGGAGUGAAGGAGAGGCGAGUGGAAUUCCGAGUGUAGAGGUGAAAUUCGUAGAUAUUCGGAGGAACACCAGUGGCGAAGGCGGCUCGCUGGCCUUUUACUGACGCUGAGACGCGAAAGCGUGGGGAGCAAACAGG
rnacentral:rRNA from 1 species